rnacentral:rRNA from 1 species
AGGACGAACGCUGGCGGCGUGCCUAACACAUGCAAGUCGAACGAAGCAUAGUAAUAUGCUUAGUGGCGGACGGGUGAGUAACGCGUGAACAAUCUGCCCUAUACAAAGGAAUAGCCUCGGGAAACUGGGAUUAAAACCAUAUAACACUUUAGUACCGCAUGGUACAGAAGUCAAAUUGAUUAAGAGGUAUAGGAUGAGUUCGCGUCUGAUUAGCUAGUUGGUAAGGUAACGGCUUACCAAGGCGACGAUCAGUAGCCGGCCUGAGAGGGUGAACGGCCACACUGGAACUGAGACACGGUCCAGACUCCUACGGGAGGCAGCAGUGGGGAAUAUUGCACAAUGGAGGAAACUCUGAUGCAGCGACGCCGCGUGAGUGAAGAAGGUCUUCGGAUCGUAAAACUCUGUCCUUGGUGAAGAUAAUGACGGUAGCCAAGGAGGAAGCCCCGGCUAACUACGUGCCAGCCGCCGC